rnacentral:rRNA from 1 species
GAAAGUAGGGCAGCUAUGCUCUUGGGAUGUGAGAUCCAGUGCCGGUUGGGAGAAGCCGUUACCCUUCGGGGAAUCUUCAAAAAACACACAACCUGGGGAGGGUUUGGCAAGCUGCUGACGCCGUAGCAUUUGCGUUGGAUCAGGUCAGAUCCUUAAACUGACGAUUGAGUCAGGCGUGUUAUCCCUAGAACCCUGCUCAAC